GAUCCACGCGGCCUAGCGAAGUGCAAAGUAGAGGCAAUUAUCCGGACAAAUUAGACUGUAAACAAAACUCAACGUCUUUUGCCUGGGAGAACUGAAGGGAUUCUGGUGGUGGCAGUGGUGUGUGUUUGGGUUGAGAAGGGGAAGUCCGGAUGAGGAAAGGCCCAAGAUCCCAGGGGGAGGGCUCUGCUGGUAGCAGAUGCCCCACUCAGAGACCCGUGGCAAUCUGAUCCUGCCAAAGACAAGCCAAGGGUGCAAAGACCAUGACAAGAGACUGUUUAUCAUGGCGACCUUCCCAGAAUGGGACUUAUUCCAGACAUCCAAGCGAUUCAUAGAGGCUUCUAGAACCCCUGGGUUCUCUGGACCUGGUGAGGGACAAGGCAGCAGAGAAAGAGAAUACAGAAAAGCAUCAAACAAGGAGAUAAAGUUCAGCCACAAUGCUACCACUCAGAGAUAACUAAGGUCAUUUCGGACUCCUGAAGCCUCCAGUCCCUCAGUGAGAUGCGAGCACCACUGGCGUCCGUGGCCUCUGUUUCCGUGGCAACCCAGUAACCAUUAAUUUUCAAUUAAAGGAGACAAAAAGCUCGAUGACAGCUCCAGGUCUGCUGAAGAUGUCAAGAAUCUGUAUUAAUAUACAGCAAGAGAGCAUAAUUGUGUGUCCAUCUUCCAGAGCAGCGAAAAAUGGAGGGAUAAUUACCAGCUCGAAAGCCACUCUGUAAUUUAGUUCUUACUGUCACCACAGCCCUACACAUUAGCAUAAAUUAAAAGCAGAGUUUAUUGUUAUCAAAGUGCA